CGUGCCUAAUACAUGCAAGUCGAACGCACCGCUUCGGUGGUGAGUGGCGAACGGGUGAGUAAUACAUAAGUAACCUGGCCUUUCGAGGGGGAUAACUAUUGGAAACGAUAGCUAAGACCGCAUAGGCAUAAUUCUCGCAUGAGAGUUAUGUUAAAUAUCCCAAGGGAUAGCGAGAGGAUGGACUUAUGGCGCAUUAGCUAGUUGGUGAGGGUAACGGCCCACCAAGGCGACGAUGCGUAGCCGACCUGAGAGGGUGGACGGCCACACUGGGACUGAGACACGGCCCAGACUCCUACGGGAGGCAGCAGUAGGGAAUUUUCGGCAAUGGGCGAAAGCCUGACCGAGCAACGCCGCGUGAGGGAGGAAGUAUUUCGGUAUGUAAACCUCUGUUAUAAAGGAAGAACGGCGCAUGUAGGGAAUGACAUGCGAGUGACGGUACUUUAUGAGAAAGCCACGGCUAACUACGUGCCAGCAGCCGCGGUAAUACGUAGGUGGCGAGCGUUAUCCGGAAUCAUUGGGCGUAAAGAGGGAGCAGGCGGCAACUAGGGUCUGCGGUAAAAGACCGAAGCUAAACUUCGGUAAGCCGUGGAAACCGAGGAGCUAGAGUGCAGUAGAGGAUCGUGGAAUUCCAUGUGUAGCGGUGAAAUGCGUAGAUAUAUGGAGGAACACCAGUGGCGAAGGCGACGAUCUGGGCUGCAACUGACGCUCAGUCCCGAAAGCGUGGGGAGCAAAUAGGAUUAGAUACCCUAGUAGUCCACGCCGUACACGAUGAGUACUAAGUGUUGGGGGUCAGACCUCAGUGCUGCAGUUAACGCAAUAAGUACUCCGCCUGAGUAGUACGUUCGCAAGAAUGAAACU
rnacentral:rRNA from 1 species